rnacentral:rRNA from 1 species
UAGGGANUCUUCCGCAAUGGACGAAAGUCUGACGGAGCAACGCCGCGUGAGCGAAGAAGGUCUUCGGAUCGUAAAGCUCUGUUGUUAGGGAAGAACAAGUACCGGAGUAACUGUCGGUACCUUGACGGUACCUAACCAGAAAGCCACGGCUAACUACGUGCCAGCAGCCGCGGUAAUACGUAGGUGGCAAGCGUUGUCCGGAAUCAUUGGGCGUAAAGCGCGCGCAGGCGGUCCUUUAAGUCUGAUGUGAAAUCUUGCGGCUCAACCGUAAGCGGUCAUUGGAAACUGGGGGACUUGAGUGCAGGAGAGGAAAGCGGAAUUCCAUGUGUAGCGGUGAAAUGCGUAGAGAUAUGGAGGAACACCAGUGGCGAAGGCGGCUUUCUGGCCUGUAACUGACGCUGAGGCGCGAAAGCGUGGGGAGCAAACAGGAUUAGAUACCCUGGUAGUCCACGCCGUAAACGAUGAGUGCUAAGUGUUGGAGGGUUUCCGCCCUUCAGUGCUGCAGCUAACGCAUUAAGCACUCCGCCUGGGGAGUACGGUCGCAAGACUG